UACGUAGGUGGCAAGCGUUGUCCGGAUUUACUGGGCGUAAAGAGCGCGCAGGCGGUCGUUCAAGUCGCGUGUGAAAGCCCCCGGCUCAACUGGGGAGGGUCACGCGAUACUGAUCGACUCGAAGGCAGGAGAGGGAAGCGGAAUUCCCGGUGUAGUGGUGAAAUGCGUAGAUAUCGGAAGGAACACCUGUGGCGAAAGCGGCUCACUGGACCAUUACUGACGCUGAGGCGCGAAAGCUAGGGGAGCAAACAGG
rnacentral:rRNA from 1 species